GAGCAGACGCUGUGCUUCUUUCUGUAUCUCUGCGUUCUUUCAGGGCUUGUCAGUACUGACCCUGAUUCCCCACUUUUCUCUGAUAAUCUCCUCUGGCUCUUCCUCUUCCUUUUCUGGUUGUUCCUCUUCUCUGCUUUAUCACCCUCCUCCCUUUCUCUCCCUACUCCUCCUUCUCUUCCUCCUCUUCCUUAUCCUCUUCUUCCUCUCUUGUCCACCCCCUUCCUUAUCCUUAAUCUUUCUCUAGUAACUUCUGAGUUUGCCAAAGUUAUUUUUUUAUAUAUAUAAUAUGAUGUGUUUUAGUAACUUUAUUUAAAAAACAAAAAAAACAACAAUCUUGGUAACCUUCAGAAUUCCUCUAAGCUUGUUCACAUUCUCGCAAAUCAGAAGAGAUUUUCCUUAGGAUUUCAGAGUGCUGGCAAAACAAAAGAAAGAAAGAAAAAGAAUUGCUAGACGUGGAGCUGAGAGGGAAAUAGGGAGAGCAAAAGAAUUGGAUGAAAUCACAGUUGUCAUGAGGUAUAUUUGCAACAUGCCUACAUCAAGUUUAACUCUUGAAAGAAAACAGAAAUGGAAGGAAAGACCGGUGGAGUCACGUCUGACAAAAAGACAAGUGUCCUGUGCUCUAGAUUGGAAACUUAUUCUUAGUAGUCCCAUAACCAACUCAGGAUGUCACUGUUACAGAAAAGGAAGAGCAAAUGAAAGAACAUCUCUGCCUGGACUCCACCUCAUGAUCCAGUUCUGAUGAGGACCAUUGGACUAAAUCAAUUUGCUAUUCUGAUGACAAUUGAUCCUCAAUGGAGUAUCUGGAGGAAGAAUUCUACCACAAUAUACUUCUUAGCAACUCCCUGAUUUCAUCUUCAGGCUAUCUAACUCUGGUGGAUCUUAAUGUACCUUCUGUUUAAUUGGUUAUACAGACAUUCCUAACUAUGAGCAGUUGCAUUAUACAAUUUUUAUCAUUAUUUAUUUAAAUCAGUGUGUUUGUCUAGUAGCCCCACUUAUCUACAGGAUAUGCUACAAGACCUUAAGUAGGUACCACUUCUAUCAUGCUUCUCUCUGAACAUACUCUCUCAACUGCCUAACCAUAUCCUGACAGUAACAUUCGCUAUCUGAGGUACAGUAACAAAACUAUUAUGGAUUUUGUUUCUUGUCUUCAUUAUUUCACAGCCAGAACCUUUGUUAAUGUAGAUGCUAGCACCCUUGGGAAGGAAGUUGUUCUCUUUUCUAAGUUGAGAGCUCUGACCUUCCCACUUAAAUGUCCUUUUGGGUUUCUUGUCGACACAGAUGAAUUGCCAGCACUGUUACUUUUGUACUUUGGGGCCAAUAUUAAAUAAGGGCUGCCUGGACACUAGCACUGUAAUGGUAUGACAGUUAAUCUGAUUGCCAGCCACCACAUGAGUAAUGGGCAGGUAGAGUCUUCUGUGAGAAUUGCACAGACAAAGGGAUGGCUCAUUUCAGAUGGAGAGAGGAAGGAUGGUAAAUGGUUCCAUCAUGUGGUCAAGAAUAACUGACAAUUGAAAGCUUGUAGGAGGCUUAAUUUGGGAAAUUCCCAUUUAAUACUUUUGAACAAAAGGUGAUCUGAGUAACAAGCCACAGAAAGAGAAAAUUGUAAAAAAACAAGGCACUACUAUACUUAAAUAAAUUUUUCUAUGGG
ensembl:lincRNA A830019L24Rik RIKEN cDNA A830019L24 gene